CUUCAGCGAUCCCAGCCAGAGCGGGUGGGACGCCGGCCGGCGUCCGUACGUCGCCAGCAGGGCCUGGGCCUC
rnacentral:antisense_RNA from 1 species